GUGCUUGCUUCAGCAGCACAUAUACAAAAAUUGGAACGAUACAGAGAAUAUUAGCGUGGCCCCUGCCCAAGGAUCACAUGCAAAUUUGUGAAGCAUUCCAUAUUUUU
ensembl:snRNA U6 U6 spliceosomal RNA